UACGUAGGGUGCAAGCGUUAAUCGGAAUUACUGGGCGUAAAGCGUGCGCAGGCGGUUCGUUGUGUCGGCGGUGAAAGCCCCGGGCUUAACCUGGGAAUGGCCGUCGAAACUGGCGAACUGGAGUGUGGCAGAGGGGGGUGGAAUUCCGCGUGUAGCAGUGAAAUGCGUAGAUAUGCGGAGGAACACCGAUGGCGAAGGCAAUCCCCUGGGCCUGCACUGACGCUCAUGCACGAAAGCGUGGGGAGCAAACAGG
rnacentral:rRNA from 1 species